rnacentral:rRNA from 1 species
AUGCAGGAGCAAUAUGUUAAUCGGCACAAACCACGGCACAAAACCAAUAAGACAAACCUUCAACAUUAUCAAAUUGAGUGUCUUAAUUCCGUCAUUGAUUGGCAGCUUCAAGAGUUUGAUGACCGCUUCAAUGAGGUAAAUUCUGCAUUGCUUGGACACAUGGCUUCUUUCAACCCCAAAGACUCCUUUGCUGCUUUUAACUUGGACAACUUAGUGAAGCUAGCUGAGUUUUAUCCGGAUGACUUUGAUUCAAGAAAAUUGGAUGAUCUUGGUCCUGAACUUCGCACUUACAUUGACAAUGUGCGAGCAGAUGAAAGGUUCGCCAAUUUGGAUGGAAUUGCUGAUCUUGCUAAACUAAUGGUGGAAACAAAUAAGCAUAUUACGUUUCCUUUGGUUUAUCAUCUUUUAAAGCUAGUACUGAUAUUGCCAGUUGCCACUGCAUCAGUGGAGAGAUGCUUUUCAGCUAUGAAUGUUGUAAAAAAAAAGUUACGCUACAAAAUGGGUGAUCAAUUCAUGAGGGAUUGUCUAAUAUGCUAUGUGGAGAAAGAUAUAUUUUCUACCAUUACCAAUGAUGCAGUGUUUAAUAUUUUUAAGGCAGUGAAAGAUCGAAAGGGGACACUCUAA